AGAAUGCGUGUACUUUUCGUGCAGUCAGCUUAUCCGUAUCUUGUAUCUGUGUGUUGUGUAUCAUUGUGUAUGUGUGCAAAGGAAAGUGUAUGUAUGUUCAUGUGAUUUGCGUUUGUUUUGGAAGGUAGCAUAAUUUCGUAGGGUAUAUUCUUCAUAGUUCAAUGAAAACUGCGAGCGCAACGAAGAUGGAGGUGGCGAAACGCUGAUUAAUUCGGCAAUUCUACACAAUUUGGAAAGUUCCACCGGUUACCCAUGCCCAUGGUGGAGGGAUUCACUGUGACAAGUUGGAAGUGUGUCAUGGAUCGGACCCUGGCUGUGUAGCGGGAACGAAGGGGCUACACCACUGACCAGUAGAGCCAAGGUUUCGUUUUGUUCCAAAGACCGCUACGAUAAUGUGGAACGUACAGCAGACGAAAGAAGCCAGCCGAAUGAGGUCAGCGAAGCAGCAGAUAUAUAUGCUUAGCUGAUAGGUUUCAGCUUGCCCGGCCGAGCUGUAGUCCAUCAGACUUCAGCUAGUCGAAAACAUGCUAAGUCGUGUUCUAAAUUGAACUAUCGGGUUCCUUUCCCCGCAGCUAUUUUAGGUGGAUUGGGUAAACGCACCCAUUUUGUACAUGUUUUACUGUAAUUUCGACCUUGAGCGGCACUUCGAUACUGGACCUUGUUAUUAGAACGCCCUAUCGCGAUGCCGAUUGGCCAGAGUUGCCGCACCCGGCAGUUAGAUGCGAUAUUAUAUGACUACUAGGCACUUAGGAUAUGACUACUAGGCAC